GCCUGCUUCUCAGCGAGACGUAUUAUAUCUUUCUGUCAUUCGAAAGAUACCAGCCUUGACUGAAAAUGACCCUGAAACUUGGAUAGUUUGUAAUUUUUCUGUGGAUCAUGACAGUGCUCCUCUAAACAACCGAUGUGUCCGUGCCAAAAUAAAUGUUGCUAUGAUUUGUCAAACCUUGGUAAGCCCACCAGAGGGAAACCAGGAAAUUAGCAGGGACAACAUUCUAUGCAAGAUUACAUAUGUAGCUAAUGUGAACCCUGGAGGAUGGGCACCAGCCUCAGUGUUAAGGGCAGUGGCAAAGCGAGAGUAUCCUAAAUUUCUAAAACGUUUUACUUCUUACGUCCAAGAAAAAACUGCAGGAAAGCCUAUUUUGUUCUAGUAUUAACAGGUACUAGAAGAUAUGUUUUAUCUUUUUUUAACUUUAUUUGACUAAUAUGACUGUCAAUACUAAAAUUUAGUUGUUGAAAGUAUUUACUAUGUUUUUUGAUGUUCCCCUAUAGAGUAUUGUUUCGUUGGUUUUUGUUGUUGUCGUUGUUGUUGUUUUAAACAGGGUCUUGCUCUGUUUCCUAAGCUGAAGUGCAAUGACACCAUCACGGCUCACUGCAACCUCAACCUCUGGCCUCAAACAAUCCUCUCAUCUCAGCCUUCCCAGUAGCUGGGAGUCCCCACAGGCAUGUGCCACCAUGCUCAGCU
rnacentral:lncRNA from 10 species